UAGGGAAUAUUGGACAAUGGGUGAGAGCCUGAUCCAGCCAUGCCGCGUGCAGGAAGAAGGCGUUAUGCGUUGUAAACUGCUUUUUGCCAGGGGAUAAAAAGACCGUGCGCGGUUAAUUGAAGGUACCUGGUGAAUAAGCCACGGCUAACUACGUGCCAGCAGCCGCGGCAAUACGUAGGUGGCAAGCGUUGUCCGGAUUUAUUGGGUUUAAAGGGUGCGUAGGUGGCCCUGUAAGUCAGUGGUGAAAUAUCUCAGCUUAACGGAGAGGGUGCCAUUGAUACUGCAGGGCUUGAGUACAGAUGAGGUAGGCGGAAUUGACGGUGUAGCGGUGAAAUGCAUAGAUAUCGUCAAGAACACCGAUAGCGAAGGCAGCUUACCAAGCUGUAACUGACACUGAGGCACGAAAGUGUGGGGAUCAAACAGGAUUAGAUACCCCCGUAGUCCCUGAGCGGGCUGGCAAGGCGCAU
rnacentral:rRNA from 1 species